AUGGGUUCGCAGUGAAAGCCUCUCAUACUGGUAAAGAAGCCAAAGCCGCAAGCAGUAGUUAGAGAUUGGAUCAGUGAAUUACCUGAUGCAGUUCUUUGUCACAUACUUUCCUUCCUUCCAACCAAACUUGCUGUGAGAACCAGCAUUCUGUCUUCAAGAUGGAAGAACAUAUGGGCUUCUGUUCUCAAUCUAGACUUCGACGACGAAUACAAUCCCUGGAUAGAGAGGGAUGACUCUUUCUCGAUGUUUGUCGAUCAUGUACUUUCCUUUCGUGACUCAGCCGACAUUCAUAAGUUUCGUCUUCGUUGUUCCGGUGUUGAGGAUUUCUCUCGUAUUGAUGGUUGGCUUCGCACUGCUAUUGACCUUAAUGCUGUUGAAUUUGAUCUUCGUGUUCACUCCAAUGGCCAGAUUUUUGAGUUGCCUCAGAGCUUUUUCAUGUCCAAAACACUGGUGGUUUUGAAGCUAAAUUCAGAUUGUCUUAGAUAUGUUCCUCCUAAGUCAGGGUGUUUCCCAAGUCUCAAGUUCCUCCAUGUUACAGACUAUUAUCCUCAUUAUGAAUCAAUGGAAAAAAAAAUUUCUUGCUGCCCUGUACUUGAAGAUUUGACUAUAGAUGGAGUUGUUGAACAUGAUGCAGAUGUUUACAUCUCUGCACCUGAAUUGAAGACAUUAAGAAUAAGUUUAAGUGGUGAAGAUUUUUCUCCUCAGAACACUUUUUCUAUAAAUGCUCCAAAGCUUGAAAAACUUGAUGUCAUGGAGGAUCGUUUGUCAAAUUACAUUGUGAAGAAUGCGAAGUCCCUGGUCAAAGCCAUUGUUACAUUGUGACUUCUCUAAGCUUUCAAGUGUGCUUCUGGCAGGAAUUUCCAAUGUUAAGUAUUUGUCUCUUUCAGCUAUUCGAUCGAUACUAUCUUUCACAAAGGCUUGUAGUGUGCCUGCUUUUGAUAAUUUGAGCGAAUUGAAGCUGGUUCUUCAUAAUUGCUACGAUUGGGAAUUGCUAACAGAGCUGCUCAAGAGAUCACCUAAUUUGGAGUAUCUUGUCUUAGAACAUAAUGAAGGUGCGUGUAGUAUAUACUCAGAGGAUGAAGAAUACGCGGAGGAUGAAGAAUACUCAGCGGAAUACUUCGACCAUGAAUGGAAUACACCAGAGACCGUGCCUGUUUGUUUGUCCACCCACCUCAAGAGUAUCACCAUAAGGGGAUUCAAGGGAGACUCUGAUGAGAUGGAAGCGGCCAAGUAUUUGUUAGAGCAGGGUAAAGUUCUGAAUAAGGUGACUAUUUAUGGUGGUGAUUUGCUGUGUAGAAGAGAGGAGUUAGACAAGGAACUUGAGUUGAUUCAAAGGGGUUUGAGGACUUGUCGAGUUGAAUUUUUCUGAGAUGCAAUUUCUAGCUUUUGCAACAAUUGUAUUGUUGAAAAGUCCAAUUCUGGGUGUUAGAAGGAUUCUGUUAUCUUUUAUUUCUUUCGAACUAAAAGGAUUAUGUUAUCAACAAAGUUGUAAUAUUUAGCAACCU